rnacentral:rRNA from 1 species
UACGGAGGGUGCGAGCGUUAAUCGGAAUCACUGGGCGUAAAGCGUGCGUAGGCGGUUCGUUAAGUCGGAUGUGAAAGCCCCGGGCUUAACCCGGGAAUUGCAUUCGAUACUGGCGGACUGGAGUGUGGUAGAGGGUAGUGGAAUUCCCGGUGUAGCGGUGAAAUGCGUAGAUAUCGGGAGGAACAUCAGUGGCGAAGGCGGCUACCUGGACCAACACUGACGCUGAGGCACGAAAGCGUGGGGAGCAAACAGG